rnacentral:rRNA from 1 species
UGGGGAAUUUUGGACAAUGGGCGAAAGCCUGAUCCAGCAAUGCCGCGUGUGUGAAGAAGGCCUUCGGGUUGUAAAGCACUUUUGUCCGGAAAGAAAUCCUUGGCUCUAAUACAGUCGGGGGAUGACGGUACCGGAAGAAUAAGCACCGGCUAACUACGUGCCAGCAGCCGCGGUAAUACGUAGGGUGCAAGCGUUAAUCGGAAUUACUGGGCGUAAAGCGUGCGCAGGCGGUUUGCUAAGACCGAUGUGAAAUCCCCGGGCUCAACCUGGGAACUGCAUUGGUGACUGGCAGGCUAGAGUAUGGCAGAGGGGGGUAGAAUUCCACGUGUAGCAGUGAAAUGCGUAGAGACGUGGAGGAAUACCGAUGGCGAAGGCAGCCCCCUGGGCCAAUACUGACGCUCAUGCACGAAAGCGUGGGGAGCAAAACAGGAUUAGAUACCCUGGUAGUCCACGCCCUAAACGAUGUCAACUAGUUGUUGGGGAUUCAUUUCCUUAGUAACGUAGCUAACGCGUGAAGUUGACCGCCUGGGGAGUACGGUCGCAAGAUUAAAACUUAAAGGAAUUGACGGGGUC